GCCCCUAUAGCUCAAUUGAAUAGAGCGUUGGCCUCCGGAGCCAAAGGCUGCAGGUUUGAAUCCUGCUGGGGGCA
rnacentral:tRNA from 3 species